UAACAAUGUUCUAUUUCUUUAUUGUAAUUGAAAACUGAACAGCAAAUGAAUUUUUAUGGUUUGUUUUCUCCAACAAACUUAAUAAUAUUAAAAUAUGUGAGAAAUAAUAUUUAUUGCAACAGGUUAUGAGGGUGGAAACAAACAGUCUCACAAUUUGCUAGAAGCAUAACAGAGCUUACUGACAUUUUCAAGGAAAAACAACAAAGAAAGAAGUCAUCAAACAAGAUGGUAUCUUGACAAAGGCACAGAGCUCCACAACUGCUUCAUACUCUGCACACAAUAAAUCCUCUCAGAGAGAUGAAAGGAGUGAUGACAAAUGGGCUUGCAUUUGAGCUGUGGACACUAUCACUGGUAUUAUUCAUAUAACCAGGGCUCUAUAUCACCCCUCUGGAGAAGAAAGUGCAACACAAAGUCUGUGUAACAAAGGAAAGCAAAAGUAGCAAUAAAGGUCCAGAGAAAUACACACAUGCAAAUACAGUACUGCAAACUCAGUAAAAGGAGUUUUUGACUGGAGUGUGAACUUUCAACUUGAAGAUACAUUUCGCAGGGACAUUCACCCAAAGCUUGAGAGCUAGAGCAGAGAGACUUGCUUGCAGUCAGUAACUGAGUAGAUGAAAUGCGUAAUUUUUCACUAGGUGAUAAUUCCCUUUGGGAAGAAGUGCCUUAUCUUUAAUUAUUCCACUUUUUGUUAUUUUUCCUUUACAAAAAAACCUCAUUUUUAGGCCAAAAUAAAUUACAACUUGCUGAAAUACCUUUUAUGGCUCAGUGCUCAUUCCAGCUAUAUAAAAUUAUAUUUUUUGCACAUCUUCAGAAAUUAGAGAUACUGAGAGAGAGUGGUUACUUUUUUUAGGGGGGCGGUGAUGGAAUUUCACUCUGUCUCCCAGGUUAGAGUGCAGUGGCGCAAUAUCGGCUCACUACAACCUCCACCCACAGCGUUCAAAUGAUUCUCCUGCCUCAGCCUCCCAAGUAGCUGGGAUUACAGGCACCUGACACCAUGCCCGGCUAAUUUUUGUAUUUUUAGUAAAGAUGUGGUCUCACCAUAUUGGUCAGGCUGGUCUCAAACUUGACCUCAGGUGAUCCACCUACCUCGGCCUCCCAAAGUGCUGGGAUUACAGGCGUGAGCCACUGCACCCGGCCAGAGAGAGAGUGGUUACUUCUAAAAUGACAUGAUGAUAUAACCCUGGCUUAGGGAACAGAUCAAGUUCUAAAUCUCAGGAAUAAAAGAUACUCAUUAUCCAAGCCAUAUAGUCUUGUACUAUAUACAUAUUAACAGUCUAUGCAAUGAAAAAUGAAGAACAGAAAUUUCAUAAAACUUUAAAAACACACAACAUAGGCAGGGUGUGGUAGCUCAUGCCUGUAAUCCCAGCACUUUGGGAGGUCGAG
rnacentral:lncRNA from 10 species